rfam:Trichobilharzia regenti genome assembly, scaffold: TRE_scaffold0046810
GUACUGCUGAAGAGUGUCAAACUAGGACGAAACAGCUGUCCAGUAC